UUUUUCAGCUGGGUUAUUGUGUUUAAGACUAAAUUCUGUUAUUCGCUCAUAUGAAGAGCAACGAGUAAACCGGUGUGUUUUGAGUUUCAUCUUCAGGACAAUGUAACCAGUCAAGACGGCUUGAUUUCGGACGAUAUAGUCAGAACAGGAAAAUAUAAAUCCAUUUUGCACGUGAGGAAGGGCUUCCUGUCGUCGUAGCACUCCGUUUCAAAAUAAGAGUUUUCUCUCAUAUUUCUUUCAUAUGGCGUGUGGGUGAAGUCUACCAUGUGUACUGUCAGAACAAAUCUUAUUGUGUGUGUGUGUGUGUGUGUGUGUGUGUGUGUGUGUGUGUGUGUGUGUGUGUGUGUGUGUGUGUGUGUGUGUGUGUGUGUGUGUGUCAUUUAUUUUCACUCAAACAAGAUAAAACCAACUAAAAACUAUGGGCGCAAACUACAACUGGGUGAAGCAACUGUCAGAGCAUGAAGUGUUAUAGAAUCGCUGGUCUUCUGGUAAAACCAGUGAAAACGUGUCUGUCUACCGUUACAAUAUGACUUACAGGGAGCUAUGGUCGCUGUGUUACAGGCGUGUUCAGACACAUUAACAACUCCUCCAGUUCUAAAACUGUCAGAUCUUGUUCACAUAGUUCUGCACAUUACAUUUAUGUUUUUAUAUGCACAGCUGUAUCCAUCUGAUUAAGCUGGGAGAUACAGAUGCUAGGGUGGGAAAACAGGUUGAAACAAUAGAAGAAGUACAAACCAAACUUGUGUUUGUCAGAGUGGAGAAUAAGUUCUGACUGUUUGCUGGGGAUGCACCAAAUGUUCUUCUACAAUCAUGCAUGUGCUCUACAGAGUAAUAACUUAAUGUCUGUGGGUUGAGGCCCUGUGGGUUAUUGGGAGGACGACCCACAAACGGCCUUUUAUCAGUUUUAUAACAUUGACCCAGCUCAAAUAACUCUGGUCCCAAUGUCAAAUAUUUGUAUUGUAUACAUGUUGGUUUCAGGAGAAAAUAAGAGGCUACAGUACUUGCUGUUUGUACACAAAUAUUACUGCCACAGUUAAAUAUGAAGCUGCUCCGACAACAUGUGGCCACUAGAUGUCUCCACGCAGAUGAGCAAAACAAGGACAGUAAACUCAUCAUUCAUACAUUAGCUAUGUUGUCCUUUAGCUGUUGUGAUCUGGUAGAGACAUGGUCCAAGUAAUAGAACACCUUAGUGGAGUAGAGCAUGUGGGAGAGAGAGGCUGAUGGUGGUACGGUCCCUGUAAGUGUGUUAGCUGUCCAGCAUUGUGAGCUAUGCAAUACACAGUUUCAAAUAACUUACUUUUUAUUUUCUCUGAAGUAAAAAAAAAGAAAUAUUAAAAGACAACAGAUGAUGAGAUGAUAGAACUGCAUGAUAAUAGCUAUCUUACAAAAUGCAAAAACAAGAGGAAUCAAUUCAAAGAACAAAAUGGCAGGUUUUCCCUAAUAAUUUUACAACUCUAGGACUGCAGACAGCCCCACAACCUCACUGUGCAGGUACUGUGUUGACCCGUUCAACAACAGCUUUGUGUAAAAUUUGUUUAUUUUGGUACAUGUAGGUCUGUGUUUGUGUAUGUACUCAGUGAUACUCAUCCUGGCCACUUAUUCCUGGUAUGAAGGUGCUGCGGUGCACAGACACUGGUUUGUCCACUAAACAUCCUGAGGAACAUCUUGAUUUCUUUACUUGUCUUCUCUCCAGGUUGUUUGGUAAAGUCGUCUUGUGGAGCUUUUCCAACAACGUUGCUGAGAAGAAACAUGUCCUGGCAGCCUUCCACCCUUCAUCGUUGCACACUUUGCCUCUAAGUGUGACGACAAUCCACACGUUUGUGCAAUACUGGUUUAUGCUACUUAUGUGGUCGUAACAAUCAGUAAAGAACUGUGAAGCGUGGCAGCUUGAACUGCCAGCCUGUCAUGGGAACUGGAGACUACCAGCAGCCAUCAGAAGAUAAAGGGGAGCUUCAGCAGUGAAAGGCCUAGUUCAAUGUGCUGUGGUAUUGAAUGUGUGAGGUUAAUUGUUGGUAACUGCUCUUUUCCAGACAACAGCCCGUCACUCACUGGUCAGCAUCAUCAGCCAUUUGGACCCUUCGAGCAACAUGGUGUUACCAGCCUCUGGCUGAGAUAUAUACAGACGCCUGCUCAGCCAGCAGAUGGGCUCCUCGGCCUGUAACAAGAAGCAGAGAUCAUCGGACCACGGGUCAUUCUUGACCCUGCAAAAGACCGCGCCCCACGGCACUAUCUCGGCCUCCGCUGGUGAUAGACAGACAUAAACAUACACUCCUGCUUGCUAUGAUGAAAAAAUGAUCUAAUGCAGUGGUUUGUAGCUGAUGCUGAUGUAUAACAACUCAUUCUAAUUAAGUUUCAUGGAAGACACUCAAUAGCCAUAAAGAAAGCUAAUAAAAACAUUUUUAUUAAUAGA